UUGGGUGUGAUGACAACUGUUCACAUGAGAUACUCUGUGAUGUGUGUUGUAUUCAUACUGUCUGACCCAA